rnacentral:tRNA from 1 species
GGAAGCGUGCCCGAGACCAAAAGGAUUACUUUGAUAGAGUACAACACAGAGGGGACCCCUCUCACUUCCU